GGCGGGAUAGCUCAGGCCAGUAGAGCGCACGUCUCAUAAGCGUGUGUGCGCCGGUGCAAAUCCGGCUCCCGCCA
rnacentral:tRNA from 1 species